rnacentral:rRNA from 1 species
GAUAGCUGGUUCUCUCCGAAAUAGCUUUAGGGCUAGCCUCAAGUGAUGAUUAUUGGAGGUAGAGCACUGUUUGGACGAGGGGCCCCUCUCGGGUUACCGAAUUCAGACAAACUCCGAAUGCCAAAUAAUUUAACUUGGGAGUCAGAAUGUGGGUGAUAAGGUCCAUAUUCGAAAGGGAAACAGCCCAGACCACCAGCUAAGGUCCCAAAAUAUAUGUUAAGUGGAAAAGGAUGUGGCGUUGCCCAGACAACUAGGAUGUUGGCUUAGAAGCAGCCAUCAUUUAAAGAGUGCGUAAUAGCUCACUAGUCGAGUGACACUGCGCCGAAAAUGUACCGGGGCUAAACAUAU